AGCGAACGCUGGCGGCGUGCCUAAUACAUGCAAGUCGAACGAAGUGGCGCACGGGUGAGUAAUAUAUAGCUAAUCUGCCCUACACAGAGGAACAACAGUUGGAAACGACUGCUAAUACCUCUUAGAGUAGGAUGAGCCUAUAUCGUAUCAGCUAGUUGGUAAGGUAAUGUCUUACCAAGGCUAUGACGCGUAACUGGACUGAGAGGAUGAUCAGUCACAUUGGAACUGAGACACAGUCCAAACUCCUACGGGAGGCAGCAGUAAGUAAUAUUACGCAAUGGGGGAAACCCUGACGCAGCAACGCCGCGUGGAGGAUGACACUUUUCGGAGAGUAAACUCCUUUUAUCAGGAAAGCGGUACCUGAUGAAUAAGCACCGGCUAACUCCGUGCCAGCCGGCGCGGUAAUAC
rnacentral:rRNA from 1 species